CAAUAGCGUAUAUUAAAGUUGUUGCGGUAAAAAAGCUCGUAGUUGGAUUUCUACCGAAGGUAGCCGGUCGGGUCUUCGACCUUGUAUCUGGUUUUGUCUUUGGUAUCCUCAUAGGGAACGUUUCUGCGCUUUAUUGCGUGGUGCGGUAUCUAUGACUUCUACUUUGAGGAAAUUAGAGUGUUCACAGCAGGCAAACGCCUUGAAUAUAUUAGCAUGGAAUAAUAACAUAGGAUCUUCGUCCUAUUUUGUUGGUUUCUAGGGCUAAGAUAAUGAUUAAUAGGGAUAAUUGGGGGCAUCUGUAUCAACGCGUCAGAGGUGGAAUUCUUGGAUUGCGUUGCGACAAACUACUGCGAAAGCAUCUGCCAAGGAUGUUUUCAUUGA
rnacentral:rRNA from 1 species